CUGGGCACAUUCUUAAAGUGCUUCAGAAACACGCCUAGUUUCACACCUGUUAGACCGGUACGUCUAAGCUUCAAUCACGACAUCAGUCCCUUAACUGGUAAAGAUCAGCUGAUAACAUACGGCUCAUGUGCUGCACCUGAGAGAAAAUGAAAGCCCAGGUUUUGUUCCUGCUCCUCGUUCUUGUGGUUGGAGUUCAGCUGAUGCCAGCUGGAUCCCACCGCGACUCACCAGUUAUUCCAGAAGAUGUGGCCCUCGCUGAACUGAGAGGGGAACUGAGAGAAGUCAAGCCAGUUUCACCUGAACCAUUUACUGAGAGUUUUCCAGAAACUUAAAAAUGUAUCAGUAUGGGGAAGAAAAUGGAGAGAAGAGAUGAAA